rnacentral:lncRNA from 1 species
ACUCUGUUGUCCAGACUGGAGUUCUGUGGCAUUAAUGUGGCUCACUGCAACCUCGAACUCCUGGCUUCAAGCAAUCCUCCUGUCUCAGCUUCCCAAGUAGCUAAGAGUACAGGUGUGUGCCCCAUGCCCAGAUAAUUAAAAAAAAAAAAAACAUUUUGUAGAGAUAGGGUUUUGCUAUGUUGCCCAGGUGGGUCUUGAACUCUUGGCCUUAAGCAGUCAUCCCACCUUGAUCUUCCAAGUCAUUGGGAUUGCAGGCAUGAGCCACUGUGCCCAGCCUAAUCUUUGUGCAAAGAUGUUAGGGGGCAGAGGGCUGGCAAUCUCCUGGGGAUGACAUGCAGAAAGUCAAACACCACUGUGAUGGUUAAUACUGAGUGUCAACUUGAUUGGAUUGAAGGAUACAAAGUAUUGAUCCUGAGUGUGUCUGUGAGGGUGUUGCCAAAAGAAAUUAACAUUUGAGUCAGUGGGCGGGGGAAGGCAGAUCCACCCUUAAUCUGGUGGGCACAAUCUAAUCAGCUGCCAGCGAAUAUAAAGCAGGUAGAAAAACGUGAAAAGGAAAGAGGGGCCUAGCCUCCUAACUUACAUCUUUCUCCCAUGCUGGAUGCUUCCUGCCCUCAAACAUCGGACUCCACAUUCUUCAGUUCUGGGACUCAGACUGGCUCUUCUUGCUCCUCUGCUUGCAGACAGCCUGUUGUGGAACCUUGUGAUCAGGUUGGGCUGGAAAAUCCAUUUCUCACGGUUCCAAAGGCUGGGAAGCCAGGGUCAAGGUCCUGCAGAUCCAGUGUCUGGCGAAGCCCUUCUUCCGGGUUUGGAAAUGGCUGCCUUCUCCUUCUAUCCUCACACGGCAGAGAGAGAAAGAGACUGUGAGAAACAGAGGAAGUACUCCAGGGAGUUCUGCAAUGUCUUCUAAAAGGAUGCUAAUCACAUCAUGGGGGCUCCAUCUUUGUGACCUAAUCACUUCCCAAAGGCCCCACAUCCUAAUACCGUCACAUGGGAAGUUUUCCCUUUAUCAAGAAGACCUGAAGCAAAGAGAGGGUGGUGAUCUGUCCAGGUAAGGAAGCUGCUCUUACCUUACAACUUUCGUGGUAUUGCUUGGCCCUUCUAGUCAUCAGAAACGCUCUUUGCUUAGGUUUCACCUUAACACCGUAGUCAAUCAACUGGAUGUUUUUGUUCAAAGUCUUCAUCCAGCUAACUUUGACCUCAAUAGAGAAACAUGGGAGAUGACUGGCUGAAUAGUUUAUUUUUCCCACAAAUGCUUUAGCAUUAUAUAGACAUGGAUGUAGUGUGUCCUCAGGCAUCAUAAGGAACUGACAAUUUUUGGUUUUGAAAAAUGAACUAAACUUGUCCCGAUAAUUUUGCCUGGCACUGCAACUCAAUGAAUAAUUCAGCUAAUUUACACCACAGUCAUUUGUACAUUAUGAGUGUACACGCUUUGAAAGUAUUUCUGUACCUUUGUCAUAUUGCCUAUUAAAUGUGUUCUGAAAAUAGAUACCAUGUGUGAAUGUAAGUCCUUGUUUAAAGAGUAUGUGAAUUGACACCGUGGGACCUCGUGAACAAUCUUUGCCACUUCUACAGAUUAUUUUUAUAUGGCGAUGGCUAGGAAACAGACUCUCCUUUUUAAAGGUUUUGAGAACAAACUUCUCUCAAGUUGAAUAUAUAUGUCUGGACAAGAAUAAGUUUCUUGGUUCUACAGUACUGUUAAACUUUGUACUUAUGUCUUUAUAAUCUAUCAACUGUUUAAAAUUUUUAGGGUUAGUUUAAUAAACAUCCUUGAAGUGUUCACACUAGUUAAGGAAUUCUGUCAGCUGCUCCCUCCUGGGGGUGAGAGUGAGUGGGAGAAGGUGGUGGCAGAGAAAGGAGAGGCAUUGCUGACUCCAGCCCGGAGCUCAGGGUCCUGUUGAUUACUUUCUAUUUCUCUGUCCCAGGGCGUCUGACACAGAGAAAGUGCAUAAGAUGCAGGAAUGAAUCACUGAGUGCCUGGGCUUUCUUAUCAGAACCUGUACAAUUGGCACAAGUACAGAACUAGUUUCUCCUUGGACAUGUUGCCUACUAUGUACACACAUGUCAAAUAUUUUGUUCAAAAUGUUUUUUCUUUUCCAUGCUGUCAUUUAGUAUUGAAAAUUAACAUCUGUGUCAUAUUGUAGGUGACAUGUAACAUUUUUGUUUUGCAUCUAUAUUUUCUACAUUAUAUGUGAUUAUUUUGCAAUAAAAAUGUGAUUGACAUAUUCACCAAAAUUAUCCUGACAUCAACUAGCAAACAUGCCUGCUGAUAUGUGGCCCCAAUCUGUGUCAUGUUCUCCGUAGCCAGUAUCUACAGCAAGGUUUUCAUAGAGAUUUUCUAAGUUGCUUUUUUAUAGGCUGCUAUUUUUUCUGACUUUGAUCUUUAUUUAUUGGUACAAAUUGUCCCUGACUUACCAUGGCUGGACUUACAAUUUUUCAACUUUACUAAGAGUUUAUUGGAAGGUAACGCCAUCGUAAGUCAGGGAGCAUAUGUACCACAAUUGGUUCAGCUUACUAUUAUUUGACUCUACAAUGGCUUCAUUGAAGUAUUGAAUGCAUCUUUAACACACUUCAUUUUCUUCUUAUGGUGGGUUUAUGGGAUGUAACCCAUUCAGAAGUUGAGGAGCAUCCAUAUAUCUAAGGUGUUCUUACUCAUGGGAAUAUGCUCGUCACUGUGCAGCCCCUUCAUAGAGUUCCAACAAACUAUCCACAAUGCAAUUUUAAUACUGUUUUCAGAAUUAUUUUGUAUAUCUGGACAUAAGUCAAUUUUCACAGAAAGAACAUUUAGAUUAUCAUAAAUUGGGCCUUUUCGUAUUUAAUUUCAUACAGAAAACAUAAUGCAUUGCAAUAAACUUGCAUCUUAAAAUCACAAAAGGCCAUAUUCUCAACCCCCUUUUCUCUUUUAUUUAGGUCAGAUUCCUAUCAGUGUGGCUUAUGUAAUAAAAUCUGUUGUUGCCACAGUCCUAUGUCACUCUUUCCAAUAACCUACAGCCCAUCAGUCUCUCUGAGAAGGCUGCCCUGUAGCAAAUCAUUAAAUCCUUUCAAGAACCAAGAAAACAUGGAAAAUAAAUGCAAAAGGAGAAGAUAGCUUAACUCAGGCUGGUGUUUGCAUGAUCAUGGAAACUCAUGUUAUGUUGUUUGGAAUUUUGAACAGGGAAGUUGGAGGAUGGAAACGUGCAAUCCUCUUAGAUGGUGAAACUAACUUGUAUCAGGAAUUUAUACCAGGUGCGGCAUUGAACUGAGCUGGAUUUCCAUACAACAACCUGGGAAGUGAGCCUGCCAAGAGGAUGAACACCUAGAUAAUGGACCUACAGUUCACUCAGACUCAAAAUAAGGAUUUAGGCGAGUGUUGUGUUGCUACUAUUUGUUUUCAGUUACUCCCACAAAUGGACAGGUAACCACUCAGCUAGAGAUCCUAGGGUGGCUGAGAAGGACGAGGAAGGCACAAAAAUCCCUGUGGGGAUGGCCAAAAGAGUUUUCCCAUGGGCUCUUACACUGAGAACUUUACUCCUUUAUAGUCUGAACAGCAGACAGCUCAGAGGUCAAAGGAAACUGCCCCUUCUGUGGAAAGGACUCCAUGCAUGUGUCUUUGUGCCUCUUCCUGGUCCUUCAUCUCUGUCUGUGGGUACCUUUCUUUCCAUCACAAUCAUCCUCUGGAUCACAUACUACACAGGACUCAUAAGGGUGCAGAGGGUCAGGGAUGCUGGAAAUGUCACCCAACAGCAAGGUGAUAGAGUUCCGGACAGAAUUUGAAUGGUACUUUCUAUGGCUCAUGUCUCUCGGUUUUCUGCAGUCCUUGCUGAGUUUCUUAAUCCAGUGUCUGGAGACCUCCAAGGUCAAAUGCAUGCACAUUUAAAUUUAAAUUCUAGGUGUAAAUAAAGGUAAUUUCUAGAUUUGCUUCCAUCUUGAUUUUCCAUGUCAUAGUUCUAUUCAAUUAGCAUAAGUAACUCAGAGGUGACAGUCAUGUAGAGAAUGUACUGAUGGGUGAUUUUGAUUUUUGUUAUUUUCCUACAGUGUUAAAGACCUGGAAGCUUUUUAAUAAUAGUAAAAAGUGCGCAACCAAAAAUUAUUGUGUUUUUUUUUUUUGAGAAAUGAUGCCAUUAUUUCACAUGAAUGCUCUACUUAAAAAUAGAGGUAGAGAAUCCAGGGAAAAAAAGACCCAGGAAGGUAACCUUUAAUUUGAAAUUGGAUGCAUUGUGAUACUUGUG